GGUCUUUUGUUUUUAUAAAAGAUUUGGCCUGCCCAAUGAUGAUUUGAAUGGCUGCAGUAUUUUGACUGUACAAAGGUAGCAUAAUCACUUGUCUCUUAAUUGGAGUCUGGUAUGAAUGGCUGGAUGAGAAAUUUACUUUCUUUAUUUUAAAAAUAGAAUUUGAUUUCUGGAUUAAAAAGUCUAGAUGUAUUUAAAGGACGAGAAGACCCUAUAGAACUUAACUCCCCAAAAUUAAUUAUUUACUUGUAAAUAAUUUUUUAUUAUUUUUAGGGGGAGUUUUAUUGGGGUGAUAGAAAAAAUCUUUUAACUUUUUCUACUUUUUUCAUUGAUUUAUGUUUGGUUGAUCCUUUAUUAUGGAUAGGAAGAUUAAGUUACCUUAGGGAUAACAGCGUUAUUAUUUUAGAGAGUUCAUAUUGAUAAAAUAGUUUGCGACCUCGAUGUUGGAUUAAAAUUAGUGUCAGGGGUAUAAUAUUGAUUGCUAGGUCUGUUCGACCUU
rnacentral:rRNA from 1 species